ensembl:lncRNA
UUCAGAUCUGCCUACACUGAAAUGUAAUUUGCAUUGACCAAAAUAAAAGAAAACUGGGAGUGUUUAGGCUUGAAUUAGGGGUUAAAUACCCAUACCAGAAUCCUACCAAGAUCUGUAUGUAGGAAGUCAGCAAUGUUUCCUGAAAACAUACAGUGUCCUGAGGCGCAGCUCUCCCAUUGUUAAGUGAAAACUGAUUCUCUUGUUACAGUUUGUGGUAAAAAGUGAAUCUGCAGGAUAGCUUUCAGGGUAACACUCUUCAUAUCUGUGAUUGUGCUUGUUCAGUUCAACAGUAUUGGUUAGGACAUGCAUUUACUAUCUUCGUAAUUCCUUUUAACUGAAAUAGUUACUGGAUAUUACAUACCAGAAUGCUACAUCCUAUUUUCCCUCCUGUAUGAGAAUAAGCUAUUGCGGUGUAAGCACAGCGUUUAUAGAGGUAACUGCCCAGGUUGUGGCUGGGGCUUGGAUGGGGGGAGGCUUGGGGGAGGGAGGGAAGAUGUUUUAUUACUUUAACUUAAAUCUAAAUCUGAAUAAAUUGCAAUUCACCAGGGACUGCUUUUUUUUCCCUGACAAUUUUGGAAGUGCACACUUGAAAUAUAAGUCAAAGAAGCAGCUCAAAGCAUUCAAGUAUAAUAUGUAUGUAGCAGUUGAGAGAUAUGCAGAUGAGAUGUUUCUGAGGUGGUUACUGCUUUCCUUUUCUACGGAUGGGGCACUUAGCAUGGACACCUAUGUGGGAAGCCCAGGUUUUUCAGAGGUGUCUCAUAGCAAAUGGUAGCGCCUUCUCUCUAGAGAAGAGGUCCUAGAGAUAUCUUUAGCAGUUGUUGCCACAUUUCUGUUAGGAGUAGUAUUGAGCGUAGCUGUCUUUUGAUGCUCUGCUUAGUAAGGUUUAUGUGUUUCCCUGCUUCUUCCUUCAGUGACAUUGGUCACUGUCCCUUGGGAAUGUGCAUAAGUCUCACCUGCCCCUGCCCUGCAGGUGGUGUUUCAUGCACAAGAUUCCUUGGCUUUUCAGCCAGAAGUUCUGGUACCAUUUAUCCCCAGAAAUAACAAGUUUUGUACUUUGAUAGGUAUUUAAAUAUAGUAUGAGAAUCAUGAACCUCCCARCUAAAUAGUGCCACUCAGUACAUUAUAGUGCUCUGCAGUGUGAAACCAUAUGUAUAUGCCUGCACUCUCUGUUUUGGUAACCAGAGGUACACAUGCUGCAUUUACUCCUAAAAGUCUUUCCAGUUUUAAGUGCCUCUUCUCAGUUGCUCUCUGAUUCAUUCACUAACGCACCCAGGAUAUUGUGCUUUUCUUAUUGUGCUUAUCUCAGUGUCCCUCCUCUGCUGGGAUGUGUUAUCAAGCUAAAUUUAGCCUAACCAAAGCCAUGACAUCAAUUACAAAGAGCCUCUAGUGCAGACCCCCAGAAUGCUUAUUUCUUCUGGCUGAUGGGUAUUCCCAAGAAGACUGUUGUGAACUUUCAGCCUGUGUGUAUUACAUAUUUAUUAUGCUGCAUGACUGUGAUGGAAAACAUGUUGCAGCUAGCCAGCAUGCUCUCUAGCCUUCUGCAUCCAAACACUGAUUGUGUCUGCUACCGAGAUGCUAUCCCUGCAGAAGAAAGUAGCUAUUGGCCAAACCAGGGCUCUCCAAAGAGAUGUAGAUGCUGCCAGGAUUCCCUGUUUGCAUAUACGUGGAAAUGGAGUGUUUCGAAACCCACUGUGGUUGCUUGCUUUUGCCUGCUCACUUUGCCUGUUCAGAGCAUCUCUCCUGUCAUGGAAGAUGACAGAUGCUCUCACUGAAGGCCUUCAGUGAAGGCUAACCAUUUUGGAAGAGGGCAUGAUGAAGUGACUGAAAAAAGGAUUCAGAGCCAGGGCACUGGUCUCUGUUCUUGCUUUGCUCCUGACUUCUUGUGUGAGCUGAGCAAGGCACUCUGUCAGUCCUGUGCGUGCUCUUUAGCUGCCUGAACAUCUGCAAGCAGUGUCAGGAUCCUUGAGAAGGAGGUGCUGCAAGGCUGUUCUGUCAAGAGCAAGAAUAAGAACCACAAAUGAUGUGGGGGUGACACACUUCGUGUAUGGAACAUCUCCAGGAGCCCAGAUGACCUUUGGACAGCUGCUUUUCUGCUCUGGAAAUCCUCUUUUGGUUAUCUGCUCGCAGAGGCUGGAAUUUGCCUUGCUCCUUGGGAAGUAAGUGAGAACCUGCCUGUAACUGUCAGUUAUUGCUGGCCGGUAGAAUGGUCAGCUGCCACAAGCUAGGCUAUACUUCCCAUCACCUUGCUGUCUGUAUCUGAUUUUGAUUAGUAUGGUCAGCUGUUACGUUUACAGUCCUGUUUUUCUGCCACUUCGUAAGUGCAUAGGUGCUAUUGCCCUGGUAAUGUGCAUUUGCUGCCCACAGACAUGUAUGGACACUCAGUGCCUGCUACACUGAGCAGAUGCUUCAUUAGCUUCAGACUCUCCGACUCCUAGAAGACAUAACUGCCUUUGAGGAUCUGUCUGAGAAGAUACAUGAAGAAGGCAGGAACAUGUUGUACCUUUGGCAAAGAUAAUAAAGACUUGCUGUUCUGUAAAGAGUGAUUUCCU